GACGAACCGUGCAAACGUUGUUCGGAAUCACUGGGCUUAAAGGGCGCGUAGGCGGGUGGUCAAGUCAGGGGUGAAAUCUUUCCGCUCAACGGGAAAACAGCUUUUGAUACUGGCCAUCUUGAGGGGGGUAGGGGCAUGUGGAACUUCCGGUGGAGCGGUGAAAUGCGUAGAUAUCGGAAGGAACGCCGGUGGCGAAAGCGACGUGCUGGACCCUUUCUGACGCUGAGGCGCGAAAGCCAGGGGAGCAAACGGG
rnacentral:rRNA from 1 species